rnacentral:rRNA from 1 species
UACGAAGGGUGCAAGCGUUGCUCGGAAUUACUGGGCGUAAAGCGCGUGUAGGCGGUCUCGUGUGUCUGGAGUGAAAGCCCCGGGCUCACCCCGGGAAGUGCGUUGGAAACUGCGAGACUAGAGUUCCGGAGAGGAAGGUGGAAUUCCAGGUGUAGCGGUGAAAUGCGUAGAUAUCUGGAAGAACACCGGUGGCGAAGGCGGCCUUCUGGACGGUGACUGACGCUGAGACGCGAAAGCGUGGGGAGCAAACAGG